GUCCCCAGACCCAUGCUGCAGAAUGGGAGUUUUCCUGGUUACCUUCAUGUUGAAAUAGACUUCACACUAUCCAGGUGAUGAAAAUAAUCUCCAGGGACUAAGUCAUUCUUUGAAGAUGAACUGAAUCUGUGUACCAUGGAAUAUAAAAUUGUGGGGGAAUGUGUAACCUACUGGCCUUAGAUGUGAAACCAUAAAAUUAUGAGCUACUGAAACCAGGAAAACAUACCUAAAAAAAAGAAAGAAAACAUCCUUGGACUUGAAGAAAGAUGUAUAAACACAAAAGGAGAAAUGCGUGGUGACAAGGGCAAUAAUACAAUUUGCAAGACUGGCUUGAUGGUCCUUUGAAGCCACACACGCCUCCCUCAAGGACCAGAGAGUUCUUUAUUCCGGUAAUUCUCUACACCUUGGCAGACGAGAAAAAAAACAAACACAGCCAUACUGACAACAUGAUCUUCCGGAAAAUGUCUUCUCCAUCCUGAAAGGGUCCUGUGGUGCGUAUUUAACGUAUAGGGUUACAACAUUCAGUGUCCCUUCAGUGCACUGGGCGAGUGGGGACAUCACACUCCAUGUGGUCAAGGGGUGCCUCCUGGAGCGCUGCACACACAGAACGGGGUAGGUCAGAGCCCCGCGGAGGGGGGUGAGAACACCCACUCCCCAUCUCUUGUGCCAGCUCCCGCUGGCCCUUUCUCUGCCAUCACGCUCAGCGUCAAGCUCGUAAACCAAACGUUUUCCCAUUUUAUGAACUCGGCCAGCGACCCCAGUCGCUCUCUUGCAAAGGGCACAGUGUACUCUUGGAGGGAGGGGCUCACACAGCCUGGCGAGAGCUAGAAGUCUGCAGCGUCGAUGGUCCUGAGGUCCCGGCACCUACAGACGUUCUUGUGCAAAACACUCCACAGCACAAUCAGGGCCACACAAGCAUUUGAAAGCUGGAGUGAGGUGGCGUUCAGCGUGGACUCUGACCCUGGAGCAGGCGCGGGCGAUGUGUUCACGUCCCCGGGGCCACUCCAAGCUCUGUCCCCAGCUCUCGGUGCCUCCCGGGGCUUUCUUCAGCCGACUGCCACCUGGAAGCUGGGAGGGGAUGUGGCCAGGGGUGGGAGUGAAAACCCAGCUCCUUCCUCAGGGCAAACUCUGCGAACAGGCUUCCCGUCCCUGCAGGUGCCCCCCAGGCAUCACCCAGGCCCCAGACUUUGCCUGAAUCUUAAUUUGUCCCUUUCCUGACCCCCGCCCCGCACCUCCUCUGGACCCCUUCCUAAUUUCUUCUUGGAACAGAGGCUUAAUAAACCUCUUGCACAUGAAGCCUGGGCUCGGUGCACCUGCUCGGGGAGCACCUGACCCAGACGGGCCCCCGAAGGGAGCACCAUGACCAGUGUGGCACCUGGUGGCCAGUCAGUUGGGAUCCUACCUCAGCUCAGGUCAUGGUCUCACAUCUCGUGGGUUCGAGCCCCGCGUGGGGCUCUGUGCUGACAGCUUGGAGCCUGGAACCUGCUUCGGAUUCUGUGUGUUCCUCUCUC